rnacentral:rRNA from 1 species
GAUGAACGCUGGCGGCGUGCCUAAUACAUGCAAGUCGAGCGAACAGACGAGGAGCUUGCUCCUCUGACGUUAGCGGCGGACGGGUGAGUAACACGUGGAUAACCUACCUAUAAGACUGGGAUAACUUCGGGAAACCGGAGCUAAUACCGGAUAAUAUAUUGAACCGCAUGGUUCAUUAGUGAAAGACGGUUUUGCUGUCACUUAUAGAUGGAUCCGCGCCGCAUUAGCUAGUUGGUAAGGUAACGGCUUACCAAGGCGACGAUGCGUAGCCGACCUGAGAGGGUGAUCGGCCACACUGGAACUGAGACACGGUCCAGACUCCUACGGGAGGCAGCAGUAGGGAAUCUUCCGCAAUGGGCGAAAGCCUGACGGAGCAACGCCGCGUGAGUGAUGAAGGUCUUCGGAUCGUAAAACUCUGUUAGUAGGGAAGAACAAAUGUGUAAGUAACUAUGCACGUCUUGACGGUACCUAAUCAGAAAGCCACGGCUAACUACGUG